rnacentral:rRNA from 1 species
UAACACNUGCAAGUCGAACGAACGAUCUUACUUCGGUUUGGUCGUUAGUGGCGGACGGGUGAGUAACGCGUAGGAACCUGCCAGGCAGUGGGGAAUAACAGUUGGAAACGGCUGCUAAUACCGCAUACGUCCCUUGGUGUAAGAGCCGAGGGAGAAAGAUUUAUCGCUGUUUGAGGGUCCUGCGUUCGAUUAGCUUGUUGGUGAGGUAACGGCUCACCAAGGCUACGAUCGAUAGCUGGUCUGAGAGGAUGAUCAGCCACACUGGGACUGAGACACGGCCCAGACUCCUACGGGAGGCAGCAGUGGGGAAUAUUGGACAAUGGGGGCAACCCUGAUCCAGCAAUGCCGCGUGCGUGAAGAAGGCCUUAGGGUUGUAAAGCGCUUUCACCUGUGAGGAUGAUGACAGUAGCAGGAGAAGAAGCCCCGGCUAACUCCGUGCCAGCAGCCGCGGUAAU